UACUAUCCGCCUCUGUCGCAACUUUGAGUUCUCGCACUAUUUUGGAGUUCUCGUGGGGAUUUCCGGGGAUUCCCCGAGAGUUCCCAUUGGUUGGGGAAGUGCAGGAGGAGGGAUUUCCGGGAGAGAUAUUUCCUGCUGGGGGUUCCUGGACAAGCCUCCUGGCGCGAUCGGGAGGAUUCCCCAGGAGCUGUGUGAAGUGUUUUCCUGCAGUUUAAAAAUAAAGUUUGUUCCUGCUUCAGUGGCUCGUGAUUUGUGCCCAGCCAGACUGCGGCAGACUGUGGUCCUGAGUCCUGUACAAGAGCCUCUUAUUUUAUGCCCCUGGGAGGACAGCACAGAAUUCCGACCCGGGGGGCCUCUGAAGAUAGGAACAAGAUCCCACGAUAUCAAUCACGGUGGAGCUGCUGUUCCUGCACACAUGGUGAGCCUGUUACUUCUACAACCGGGACCAGGGUUGAUCGUAUCCGAGUCAAUGCCUUCUAAUAAAUACUGUAGAUACAGGCAGCUCUCCUACCAUGGUUGCACAGCCUAAAAACUGUUGUUGGAAGGAACAUUCUGUCGGCUCCACGAAAGCCAUUUUCCCAUAGAAGCACUCAUGUGAAUUGGGAAAGAAGAACUGCUUCCUCUCAACACCGUGAGAGACAUGGUUCAGAAAAUAGCCAGCAGGACACCUGCAGCAACACACACAAAGUAGUGAUAAUCUCAAGCAAAAAUUACAAACCCCAAAAACUCGUUUAGGAAGUAACACCCUUAAUGCCAGGAGACACAAUGCUCCUGCGCCUCUGUUUUCACCUGCCCUGGGUACAAAAUAAUCACAAAAAAUUGAAAUCCGAGCACUGCAAAGCUACACAGCCAAAGGAGAGGGGACAGGAGUACAGGCAAGUGUGGGGGAUGCAGCCGUAGGGAAACGUCAGGUACGGGUCCCUCAACUCUAUUUCACUGUCGUGAAACCAGGGGAGCGCGCGAACGCAAUCCUUACUACCACAAACCAUGCAGCCUUGUUUCCCACAUUCGGGGAAAUCGCAGGGGUCAGCACCUCCCAAGUGCAAUGGAAAAGCCGUGCCCUGGGAAAACCAUCUACGUGAUCGUGGUGUUUCCGCUGCCAGGUAAGUUUGAGUGGCUCAGCUUCCCGCCCAACGCAGCCUUAAGCGCCCUCCACUGUGC
rnacentral:lncRNA from 1 species